rnacentral:rRNA from 1 species
GGGUCAGUAGGCUGGUCGUGCCACCGGUACGUACUGGUCUCACUGAUUCCUCCUUCCUGAGGAACCGUAAUGCCAUUAAUUUGGUGUUGCGGGGAAACAGGACUGUUACCUUGAAAAAAUUAGAGUGUUUAAAGCAAGCUAACGCUUGAAUACAUUAGCAUGGAAUAAUGAAAUAGGACGAUCGAUCCUAUUUUGUUGGUUUCUAGGAUUGACGCA